UCAGAUUUGGGUUUCCCACAAUAGACAGCAGUCAGUACUUAGCAAAGGUGGAGGGGUUGAAAGAUGUUGCUCCAGUCCCUCUCUGUCCUCUGGGAGACCUUGUCUCUGUGGGUGUUCCUAGUGUUCCUGGCUAUAUUUCUGCUCAUUGCUGAUUACAAGAAACGGAUUCGUCCAAGGGAUUUUCCACCAGGGCCCUUGCCUCUUCCUUUCCUGGGUAAUAUUCUUGAUGUGGAUCCCAAAAAGUCUCAUUUUGCUAUAAGAAAGCUUGCAGAAGAAUACGGCAAUGUUUUCAGCAUGCAGUUUGGAAACAAGUGGCUUGUGACUGUAAAUGGAUUGUCUCUGGUAAAGGAAGGUCUUAUCCAACAGGGUGAAAACUUCAUAGAUCGUCCCCAAUUUCCUCUUUCCCAUGAAAUGUUUGGGCCGUUUGGACUGGUCUUCUCUAAUGGUCUUAUCUGGAAACAACAAAGACGAUUUGCCUUAUCAACUCUCAGAAACUUUGGUUUGGGCAAAAGAUCUUUGGAAGAACGGAUACAGGAGGAGAGCAGAUAUCUAACUGAUGCAAUUGAAGCUGAGAAAGGCCAGCCGUUCAACCCUCACUUUCAGAUCAAUAAUGCUGUUUCAAAUAUCAUUUGCUCCAUCACUUUUGGGGACCGCUUUGAUUACCAUGACAAUCAUUUCCAGAAGUUAUUGCAGUUGCUCGAUGAGACAUUACACCUUAUGGGAAGUGUUUGGGCCCAGGUGUACAAUUCCUUUCCAACUCUCAUGAAGCACUUGCCAGGGCCUCAUCAAACUCUUUUGAAAAACUGGAGACAGAUGCAAUCCUUUGUGAGAGAAAUCAUUGGAAAACACAAAAAAGACUGGAACCCAUCUGAACCAAAAGACUUCAUUGAUGCUUACCUAAAUGAAAUGGCCAAGGAGUCUGUGGCUUCCAGUUUCCAUGAGGAAAACCUCCUGUAUUCAACACUGGAUCUGUUUUUUGCUGGAACAGAAACCACUUCUACAACCCUGCGCUGGGCUUUGCUGUACAUGGCCAUUAAUCCAGAAGUUCAAGCGAGAGUCCAAGCUGAAAUAGACUCUGUGAUUGGUCAGUCUCGUCUGCCAGCGAUGGAUGACAGGGACAGAAUGCCCUAUACCAAUGCAGUUGUUCAUGAAGUUCAAAGAAUAAGCAACAUUUUGCCUCUGAAUGUUCCCCGGAUGACAACUACUGGUACAACACUGGCUGGGUUUCAUUUGCCCAAAGGAACCGUUUUGGUCUUCAACUUGACAUCAGUGCUGUUUGACAAGGAUGAGUGGGAAACACCCGAUGUGUUUAAUCCUGGCCAUUUCCUGGAGAAUGGUCAGUUCAGGAAAAGGGAAGCAUUCCUGCCAUUCUCUGCAGGAAAACGAGUUUGUCUUGGAGAGCAGUUGGCUAGGGUGGAGCUUUUUCUUUUCUUCACUGCCCUACUUCAGAAGUUCACUUUCCAGGCUCCAAAGGAUGUGACGUUAAACCUUGACUUUAGGAUGGGUCUUACAGUGAGCCCCCAGCCAUACCGAAUAUGUGCAUUCUGUCGCUAAGGGAACCCAUUUUAUGGCAUUGCUAUUAAAAAAAAAAAGAUAAGCAGCUAGCAUCGCCUCUGUUUCUGUUCUUCUUGUCGCUUGGUUCCACAGUUAACAAUGUCCUGUUGUUAUGUCUUGCCCCCUUAAUGCCAGUAGUUGUUCAAAGUGACCUUGGUUAGUACAUGGGAUGGAAACGGACCUACAGUGUAAUCCCAACCAGGUUUACCCAGACGUAAGUCCUAAUGAAUUCAAUAGGACUUGUCUCAGGUAACUAGAGUUAGGAUUGCAGCCUUAGUUCAGUAAGACUUUUAUACCUCUUGUUCCCAGUCUUUUACUUUCACCCCCCUCUCUUUCCUUACCCAUACAGGCUUGAAAAGGUCACGUCUAGCCUGUCUAAGACAUAUAUUAAUGACUUGUAAUGUAUUUAAAGUACAAAGCAGAAAUAAUGUCCCCUAUUUUACUGAGAGGAUAGUUAUAGGACAGUUCUACAGAUGGUCAAAUUGUUAGCAAGACUCCUCUGUAGACGUGUGUUUCACAUUCACGUCUUGUGAAUUAGGAUCUUAGACAUCUUGUCAAUUAGGAUCUUUAGACAUUGGCAAUAGUGCGUCUUGGCAGAUUUACCCAGUAACUUACACUCAUACAGAUCUUAAACAUGGGGAUAUUUUUUGAGCAUACACACACAGAAUCAAUAUACACAUUUAACACUCCAAUGGGGAAUAGCUCAGUAACAGUGUAGAUCUACUGACAUCACUGGGGAUAGCUCAGUAAAAACAUGUGUGAGGGAAUAAGCUGAAUAAAUCUAAUUAUAACUAAACUCUCACACACACACAUAUGAAGGAGCAAGCACAAAAGGCAUAAGAGGAGAUGGGAAGGGUUCAGCACAGCUGAGGAAGGCACACUAGCUUGCCCUUUUCUCUCCCUCUCUCUAGGCUGACUUUGCAGACCGGGCGUCAGUCAAUCACAGCUGGGCAGAGAGGACCAGAAUAUGGCUUCUGAAACACAGUCAUACCCACAAGCAAAGAUAGGCAAAGGGAGCACAUGCGGAGGCUACAAUUUGUAGGGAACGGACCUCCAGAAGACAGGCUAGAAGGCGACAUACCUUUCCCAACCCUGCUGGGCAAUCUGGAAGUAGAACUGGAGCACAAUGAACCUCCUGGGUCAGGCAGCAAAACAGCAAAUGCAGCAGGCAGGCUCUGAAAUGGCUUCUUGGAUCUCUGCUUUGGCUAGCGAAGAUCCGUAAAAUGCAUGCCUGAAUAAGGCUAAGUUUCAAAGAUGUGGUUACAGACUCUAGGGAAGACCUGCACCAUGUGGCUGGAUACGGCUCUCCAGGUAUCUCUAUGCAGUCCUUGGUUUUUGCCUACACUGCUCACUGGCCCUGCUCUCUAGACUUGAAGUGCUUUUCCCUAACUGUAAUGUGUCUUUCGACUAUGAUAAUUCCUCUUUCUUGCCUGAAGAAUGAAGGAAAUGUUUGUGUGCAGAAACCCGACAAUUUGGCAUAGCUGGAAUGCAGUCUACAGUGCAAAGGUAACAGUGGCAGUUACACCUAUUCCUCCAUUCAUUUGCAAGCUUCCACAUGCCUCCUAUAGCACUGACUGGGAAGUGGCAAGUUCUGCCCUGCCCAACAGAACUGCAUCUUUAGUAACAGUAGCUUUCUCAUUGCAGUGAGUUGCUCCCCAAUGGUUUUAGUGCAACGUAUUCAAGGCAGUGCCAAGCUAGUCAGGUUCAAGAGCAAAAGUUUUACUGCAAUCAGAUUCUGAGUCAUGGUGACUUAAUGAAGAGGAUCAGUAGCUACAAGUUGCUGGCUAUUUACAAGCUUCCCUUUCACCAGUUGAACUAUAUUUAACCUUUUUAGAUUGUUGUUUAACCAGCCAUCCACAUUUCAGAUUGGGGAGGAAGGGUUCAUUGGCUACGUCAAACUUGUAGAGGCCUAGGUCACAUAGCAUUGAUGAAGGUGCAUGUACACACUCAAGCCAUAGGUCCAAUGACCUCAUGCAUGCAUCAUCCAGUGGCAGAGUUCCCAUAAAUCCAUCUUGUUUGAUUCAGGAACAAGAAAACAUCCCUUCUUUAUUAUCUGCUUAGUUAAUCUGUAAAAGCUUCUGAAGAAACUGAAUCCAUGAAUCAAACAAAAAGGAAGCAGGUUUUACAGUUAAUGAUACAUUGCUGGUCUAUGAGGCUCUAACUAGUAUUUAUUUUCCUUAGUUCUCACUAAUUAGUCUGUUGUGUACUUUUGGGGGUGUGGUAAACAUGAGGCUGUAACUCUUAGGUGUACACACUGGGUUUGACAAGGCUACAGCUCAAACCACUAGUUCAAUAUAUAAAAUAAUGAGACCCCACAAAAUUAAUGUC